rnacentral:RNase_P_RNA from 1 species
UGAGACGACUUGGCAAUCGCACUGAUAGUCAUAUUGGUGAGGAAAGUCCGGGCUCCAUAGGGUAAGGUGCCAGGUAACACCUGGGGGGCGCGAGCCCACGGCCAGUGCAACAGAGAGUAUACCGCCGAAGCGAUUCGGUAAGGGUGAAAGGGUGCG